CCCGUCCUGGCUUGGAAAUGUCUUGGAAGUGUCCGCAACUGAUUGUGGAAAAGUUUUAAAAUAAACUUCCUUGUAAUUACUGCCAUAUUCAACAUAGCAGGGUUAAUGUGCUCAGUAGACGCAGGGAUAGGAGGCUGUGUUCGGGCAUGGCUGGAAGUUUCCCAAGAGCAUUUCAACUACCAGGGGACCAAUGGCAACAUGACAGUUGAAUCAAGUGUGCUACCACUUCUGGAUGGAGUUGCUCAAUGAGCUAUGUCGGAGGAGACUUAUUUCUGCACAGCUGAUCAGUGAUCCAUAGGAUCUGGCUAUGUGUUUCCUGUAGAUCCUAGAUCUCACCUCUUUCCCAGGCUACACCCAAUUCUCUUUAUUAAAUUUACAAGAAGAGCAUGUUGCACAAAAGAAGGUGUCUUUUCUUCAUGGCAGAGUAAUGGAGCUGACUAGUGAUUACCUCAUGCAAUCAUUUGUGGAGUAAAUUCUUUGGCUAAAUCAGCUGUUGAACACUUUUGAUGUACUAAGCAAGACAAGGUACUGUAAAGGGAGUUAGUUGUUCUUUCAGGAUGAUCAUUGCUAUAGGAUACACUCCCUUUGUGCUUCAGCCAGCCAGGAAAAUAAUAUGGGUGAUGUCUCUUAACAAAGAGAGGGAAGGAACAUUGGUAUCAAGGACACCCAAAAGAUUAGGACAUAUGAGUUUUCAAUAUUUGAAAAGAAAAAAAUAAAUGCAGAAUUCCAUGAAAAGAUAACAGAAAAGGAAGUAUUUUAGCAAUAAUAAGAAUCCCAAUUUCCCAUUUAAAUUUGUGUUACUCUGUUUCUAGAACUACAAGGUAAUUUUUAAAAGAUUCACAACAGCAUAAAUGCAGGUACAAUCAUAGAACACGACUUCCUCAUCUUUGCAAAAAUACACAUAAAAGCAGAGAAAAGCUGUACAUAAAUCUACAGAUGGGAAGAUUCAGUAUCAUGUUUUUUGGAGGAGGCAAACAGAUCCCAGUCACUUCCUGUAAAAAAAAAAAAAGUCAGAGAACAGCUUUGUGCUGCCAUUAGUGGUGUUGUAGAAAAUAUAUUUCUUAUAAGCCAUCAAGAGUGACUGAUAAGGAAAUACUGAGGUGAAAGCCUCUGAAACAGUAACAGAAGAACUAAGGGCCAGAUACUCAUUACUGGUCUCAGGCAAUAGAAAGGAAUCUAAUUCUUGCUAUAAGUGGUUAGCUGUGAAAUUCCCAGUGAAGAUACUAAAUACUAAAAUGUAUAUUAAGUAUUGUACUCAGGUCCUUGUCUCAAGAUCAGGCCUAGUUAAGUUAUUGUUACAAUUAUUUUAUGUCUGGGAAGACCAAUAUGAACAGGCUGAACACACACACUAUAGAAACUCUUUUCUGUUUACAAAUAAAUAACGUAUCUGCACAUUUAGAAAAGUUACACACUAACUCAGCAAGGUGGAGAUAUGCAGAAAGCACACUGGAACAUCCAUACUCACACCAUCCUUUGCUGAACAACCUGAAAUGUUGGCCAUUAUCUUCCUCAUUACCCUUCUUGUCUUUACCAGUGGCCAUCAUUCUGGCCCCCCUCCCAAGUUCUACAUCUCUAGCUUUGCUGUCCUCAGAUGCUGCUUUUAUAAUAUGUUAUUGCUGAUGUUUCCAUGUCUGAUGAACAUUCAAUAGGGUUUUUUCCUUAUUUCUUAUUUGUAUGUCCUCCCUUUACCAAUGCUAAGGUGUCUUAUUCCUAUAGCUGAAACAAAAUACAGGA